rnacentral:rRNA from 1 species
UACGUAGGGUGCAAGCGUUAAUCGGAAUUACUGGGCGUAAAGCGUGCGCAGGCGGUUAUGUAAGACAGGUGUGAAAUCCCAGGGCUUAACCUUGGAACUGCAUUUGUGACUGCAUAGCUAGAGUACGGUAGAGGGGGAUGGAAUUCCGCGUGUAGCAGUGAAAUGCGUAGAUAUGCGGAGGAACGCCGAUGGCGAAGGCAAUCCCCUGGACCUGUACUGACGCUCAUGCACGAAAGCGUGGGGAGCAAACAGG